UUAAGCGACUAAGCGUACACGGUGGAUGCCCUGGCAGUCAGAGGCGAUGAAGGACGUGCUAAUCUGCGAAAAGCGUCGGUAAGGUGAUAUGAACCGUUAUAACCGGCGAUGUCCGAAUGGGGAAACCCAGUGNNNNNNNNUGUGAACUCGAAGAGUAGGGCGGGACACGUGGUAUCCUGUCUGAAUAUGGGGGGACCAUCCUCCAAGGCUAAAUACUCCUGACUGACCGAUAGUGAACCAGUACCGUGAGGGAAAGGCGAAAAGAACCCCGGCGAGGGGAGUGAAAAAGAACCUGAAACCGUGUACGUACAAGCAGUGGGAGCACCUUCGGGUGUGACUGCGUACCUUUUGUAUAAUGGGUCAGCGACUUAUAUUCUGUAGCAAGGUUAACCGUAUAGGGGAGCCGCAGGGAAACCGAGUCUUAACUGGGCGUUAAGUUGCAGGGUAUAGACCCGAAACCCGGUGAUCUAGCCAUGGGCAGGUUGAAGGUUGGGUAACACUAACUGGAGGACCGAACCGACUAAUGUUGAAAAAUUAGCGGAUGACUUGUGGCUGGGGGUGAAAGGCCAAUCAAACCGGGAGAUAGCUGGUUCUCCCCGAAAGCUAUUUAGGUAGCGCCUCGUGAACUCAUCUUCGGGGGUAGAGCACUGUUUCGGCUAGGGGGUCAUCCCGACUUACCAACCCGAUGCAAACUACGAAUACCGAAGAAUGUUAUCACGGGAGACACACGGCGGGUGCUAACGUCCGUCGUGAAGAGGGAAACAACCCAGACCGCCAGCUAAGGUCCCAAAGUCAUGGUUAAGUGGGAAACGAUGUGGGAAGGCACAGACAGCCAGGAUGUUGGCUUAGAAGCAGCCAUCAUUUAAAGAAAGCGUAAUAGCUCACUGGUCGAGUCGGCCUGCGCGGAAGAUGUAACGGGGCUAAACCAUGCACCGAAGCUGCGGCAGCGACACUAUGUGUUGUUGGGUAGGGGAGCGUUCUGUAAGCCUGCGAAGGUGUGCUGUGAGGCAUGCUGGAGGUAUCAGAAGUGCGAAUGCUGACAUAAGUAACGAUAAAGCGGGUGAAAAGCCCGCUCGCCGGAAGACCAAGGGUUCCUGUCCAACGUUAAUCGGGGCAGGGUGAGUCGACCCCUAAGGCGAGGCCGAAAGGCGUAGUCGAUGGGAAACAGGUUAAUAUUCCUGUACUUGGUGUUACUGCGAAGGGGGGACGGAGAAGGCUAUGUUAGCCGGGCGACGGUUGUCCCGGUUUAAGCAUGUAGGCUGGUUAUCCAGGCAAAUCCGGAUAANCAAGGCUGAGGUGUGAUGACGAGGCACUACGGUGCUGAAGUAACAAAUGCCCUGCUUCCAGGAAAAGCCUCUAAGCAUCAGGUAACAUCAAAUCGUACCCCAAACCGACACAGGUGGUCAGGUAGAGAAUACCAAGGCGCUUGAGAGAACUCGGGUGAAGGAACUAGGCAAAAUGGUGCCGUAACUUCGGGAGAAGGCACGCUGGUGUGUAGGUGAAGUCCCUGCGGAUGGAGCUGAGACCAGUCGAAGAUACCAGCUGGCUGCAACUGUUUAUUAAAAACACAGCACUGUGCAAACACGAAAGUGGACGUAUACGGUGUGACGCCUGCCCGGUGCCGGAAGGUUAAUUGAUGGGGUUAUCCGUAAGGAGAAGCUCUUGAUCGAAGCCCCGGUAAACGGCGGCCGUAACUAUAACGGUCCUAAGGUAGCGAAAUUCCUUGUCGGGUAAGUUCCGACCUGCACGAAUGGCGUAAUGAUGGCCAGGCUGUCUCCACCCGAGACUCAGUGAAAUUGAACUCGCUGUGAAGAUGCAGUGUACCCGCGGCAAGACGGAAAGACCCCGUGAACCUUUACUAUAGCUUGACACUGAACAUUGAGCCUUGAUGUGUAGGAUAGGUGGGAGGCUUUGAAGCGUGGACGCCAGUCUGCGUGGAGCCAACCUUGAAAUACCACCCUUUAAUGUUUGAUGUUCUAACGUUGGCCCCUGACCGGGGUUGCGGACAGUGUCUGGUGGGUAGUUUGACUGGGGCGGUCUCCUCCCAAAGCGUAACGGAGGAGCACGAAGGUUAGCUAAUCCUGGUCGGACAUCAGGAGGUUAGUGCAAUGGCAUAAGCUAGCUUGACUGCGAGCGUGACGGCGCGAGCAGGUGCGAAAGCAGGUCAUAGUGAUCCGGUGGUUCUGAAUGGAAGGGCCAUCGCUCAACGGAUAAAAGGUACUCCGGGGAUAACAGGCUGAUACCGCCCAAGAGUUCAUAUCGACGGCGGUGUUUGGCACCUCGAUGUCGGCUCAUCACAUCCUGGGGCUGAAGUAGGUCCCAAGGGUAUGGCUGUUCGCCAUUUAAAGUGGUACGCGAGCUGGGUUUAGAACGUCGUGAGACAGUUCGGUCCCUAUCUGCCGUGGGCGCUGGAGAAUUGAGGGGGGCUGCUCCUAGUACGAGAGGACCGGAGUGGACGCAUCACUGGUGUUCGGGUUGUCAUGCCAAUGGCACUGCCCGGUAGCUAAAUGCGGAAGAGAUAAGUGCUGAAAGCAUCUAAGCACGAAACUUGCCCCGAGAUGAGUUCUCCCUGAGACUNGACGUUGAUAGGCCGGGUGUGUAAGCGCAGCGAUGCGUUGAGCUAACCGGUACUAAUGAACCGUGAGGCUUAACCUU
rnacentral:rRNA from 1 species